rnacentral:lncRNA from 1 species
CUGGGGUGAAUCACCCUAAGGACAGGGCAGGGGUGAAUCACUCUAAGGACAGGGCAGGGGUGAAUCACUGUAAGGACAGGACUGGGGUGAAUCACUCUAACGACAGGGCUGGGGGUGAAUCACUCUAAGGACAGGGCUGGGGUGAAUCACUCUAAGGACAGGGCUGGGGUGAAUCACUCUAAGGACAGGGCAGGGGUGAAUCACUGUAAGGACAGGACUGGGGUGAAUCACUCUAACGACAGGGCUGGGGGUGAAUCACUCUAAGGACAGGGCUGGGGGUGAAUCACUCUAAGGACAGGGCUGGGGGUGAAUCACUCUAAGGACAGGGGCUGGGGGGAAUCACUCUAAGGACAGGGCUGGGGUGAAUCACUAUAAGGACAGGGCUGGGGGGAAUCACUCUAAGGACAGGGCUGGGGUGAAUCACUCUAAGGACAGGACUGGGGUGAAUCACUCUAAGGACAGGGCUGGGGGGAAUCACUCUAAGGAAAGGGCUGGGAGUGAAUCACUCAAAGGACAGGGCUAGGGGUGAAUCACUGUAAGGACAGGGCUGUGGUGAAUCACUCUAAGGACAGGGCUGGGUGUGAAUCACUCUAAGGACAGGGCUGGGGGUGAAUCACUCUAAGGACAGGGCUGGGGGGAAUCAAUCUAAGGACAGGACUGG